CCUACGGGGGGCAGCAGCUAAGAAUAUUCCGCAAUGGACGAAAGUCUGACGGAGCGACGCCGCGUGGAUGAUGAAGGCCGAAAGGUUGUAAAAUCCUUUUGUCGAUGAAGAAUAAGCAGGGGAGGGAAUGCCCGUGUGAUGACGUUAGUCGGCGAAUAAGCCCCGGCUAAUUACGUGCCAGCAGCCGCGGUAACACGUAAGGGGCGAGCGUUGUUCGGAAUUAUUGGGCGUAAAGGGCGCGUAGGCGGUCCUGUAAGCCCGGCGUGAAAACCUGGAGCUC
rnacentral:rRNA from 1 species